UGCGUAGGCGGAAUAGUCAGUCAGUGGUGAAAUCCUACAGCUUAACUGUAGAACUGCCAUUGAUACUGCUAUUCUUGAGUACAGUUGAGGUAGGCGGAAUGUGUAGUGUAGCGGUGAAAUGCUUAGAUAUUACACAGAACACCGAUUGCGAAGGCAGCUUACUAAACUGUCACUGACGCUGAGGCACGAAAGCGUGGGGAGCGAACAGGAUUAGAUACCCUGGUAGUC
rnacentral:rRNA from 1 species